GACGAACGCUGGCGGCGUGCCUAACACAUGCAAGUCGAACGGAGAUACGCGCUGAUUCGAAGGUAGCUUGCUACUGGACUUUCUUGUGUAUCUUAGUGGCGGACGGGCGAGUAACGCGUGAGGAACCUGCCUUUCAGAGGGGAAUAACGAACGGAAACGUUCGCUAAUACCGCAUAACGUAUUUUUUCUGCAUGGAAGAGAUACCAAAGGAGCAAUCCGCUGAGAGAUGGCCUCGCGUCCGAUUAGUUAGUUGGCGGGGUAACGGCCCACCAAGACGACGAUCGGUAGCCGAACUGAGAGGUUGAUCGGCCGCAUUGGGACUGAGACACGGCCCAGACUCCUACGGGAGGCAGCAGUGGGGGAUAUUGCACAAUGGAGGAAACUCUGAUGCAGCAACGCCGCGUGAGGGAAGAAGGCCUCGG
rnacentral:rRNA from 1 species